GCUAUGUUAGUUUAUUAAGAAUGUGUAACUUGUAAUUACAGGGAAUUUAAUUAGCA
rnacentral:tRNA from 1 species